AACGAACGCUGGCGGCAGGCUUAACACAUGCAAGUCGAGGGGUAGAACACUUCGGUGUUUGAGACCGGCGCACGGGUGCGUAACGCGUAUGCAAUCUACCUUGUACAGGGGAAUAGCCCAGAGAAAUUUGGAUUAAUGCCCCAUAGUAUAUAACCUUCGCAUGUUGGUUAUAUUAAAGUUCCAACGGUACAAGAUGAGCAUGCGUCCCAUUAGUUAGUUGGUAAGGUAACGGCUUACCAAGACGAUGAUGGGUAGGGGUCCUGAGAGGGAGAUCCCCCACACUGGUACUGAGACACGGACCAGACUCCUACGGGAGGCAGCAGUGAGGAAUAUUGGUCAAUGGGCGCAAGCCUGAACCAGCCAUGCCGCGUGCAGGAAGACGGUCCUAUGGAUUGUAAACUGCUUUUAUACAGGAAGAAACCCUCCCACGUGUGGGAGAUUGACGGUACUGUAGGAAUAAGCACCGGCUAACUCCGUGCCAGCAGCCGCUGUAAAAC
rnacentral:rRNA from 1 species